AUGUGACUCUCUUUUUAUAAAGUAAGUAUUUACUAGUAUCAAGUCGUAUGCCAUAGCAAAAUCCAGAAUGUUUUUUUCUUUCUCAUUUCGGUUGCUAAAUUCAAAACCUCCAUGAACAUUCUUAUAGCCUUACCUAUCACUUCCUGCAUAUCCAUUCAAAUCUCCACAGAUAAAAACAUUCUCUUCAUUCGGUAUGUUUUGCAUUAGAUCAUCCAUAUCUUCCUAAAACUUUUGUUUACUUUCACUAUCUAGUCCUAUUUAUGGGGCAUAAGCACUAACUAGAUUUAUUAUUUCUCCUAAUAGUACUAGUUUUACUAAUAUGAUUUUAUCUCUUACUUUUUUCACAGCUAUUACGACAUCUUUCAAUGUCCUGUCUUGAUUAUGCCCACUCCGUUUUUGUUACUCUCCUUUUCGGUAAAUCACAGUUUGUAUCCUUAAUUACCCAUUUUUUUGCUUUUCUCUCCUA
rnacentral:misc_RNA from 1 species